rnacentral:rRNA from 1 species
UACGUAGGGGGCAAGCGUUAUCCGGAUUUACUGGGUGUAAAGGGAGCGUAGACGGACUUGCAAGUCUGAUGUGAAAAUCCGGGGCCCAACCCCGGAACUGCAUUGGAAACUGUAUAUCUAGAGUGUCGGAGAGGCAAGUGGAAUUCCUGGUGUAGCGGUGAAAUGCGUAGAUAUCAGGAGGAACACCAGUGGCGAAGGCGGCUUGCUGGACGAUGACUGACGUUGAGGCUCGAAAGCGUGGGUAUCGAACAGG